rnacentral:lncRNA from 1 species
CGCCACCACCAUGAAAUUAUUUUGCUUUUCUGCUAUUUUCUUUGAUAAAGCAUAGGACCAACAUGAUUAUGUUUAAAGCCAUUAUAUCAAUCCGUGCUGCCUCCACCCGAAUCUCUCCUCUUCCCCUCUGAAUAAGAGAUCAGAUUGGAGACCAUUACAUGGCUUAACUCUGCUUUCAUUGGGUUUAGGUGUGUUUUUCUUUUCAAAAUGAUUUUUGGUUAUAUGUGAUUUUAAUGACACCCCGACGGCAACCAAAGCAAACUCGAGACCGAGGCCUCUCUCAUCUCUUUCUCUAUACUUUCUCAUCUCUCCCUUCGAUUUUGGUUCAGGUGAGUGUUGCUCGCUCUGAUCUCUCUCUGAGACUAGCUUUGUUUUUUUGCCUCUAUAGUGGUUAUCCUGAGCUUACUCUCUAUUCAUUUGAAUUGGGAAAUUUUUGUCUCUGUUAUUUUAGAUCUUGAUUUUUGGUUUGUGUUUGGUUUUAAAUCAAUAUUUCCGCUUCUUUAUGGUGUAAGAAUGUUGGCUUUUGUACUGAUCAACUGUGUUCUUUGGAUUUCAGUUUGUGUUUUAUAUUCCUACUUUUUGAUUUUGUGUUGUUUUUUCUGUUCCAUGAGUUCAUUUAUUACAAUGCUAAAAAUAUUUGUGAUAUCAAAAAUUGAGGACGCUUCAGUGUUGUGUAGCGCAAGCGGUCAAACCUUGGUAUAAUUAACAACAGUUUUUUUUUUGCUAUUGGUGUUUGUUUGAGAAUUUCAAAUUUCUAUUUUACUGAGAAUUCCUGAAAAUUUUAUUAUAUAGAUUUCUGAUUAUAGAUUCAAAUCAGUGUAAAUCUAUUAACCAUUCAUUACGCAUUUUUAAUUGGUCCUCCUAAUUUGAAAAUCAACCUCCAAUUACAAUAUUUAAAUUCUCGGAGUUUGAACCAUUUAAAAAAAGAAUUGGGAAUUCUUUUUAUUAAAAGAAUCUGGGAUUCAUUAAAUGAUGCCAACAUUGUUUAAAAAUGUGGGAAUACUUUUUGUUAUUUAUCCUUUUUAUUUAUUAUAGUUUCUUCUUAUCUAUUUGAGUUACAUAUGGCAAAAUGGUGGCUCAAAUGCAUUCACCUGAUAUUAUUGGUUGUUUAUACUAACUUAUACACACUUGCAAUGUUUUCGGGGCCACUCACAUCAUUCCCAUCUCCAAUCUUCAAUUCUCAGAUCAUGGUUUCAUGUGGCCAUCCAGGUAGUUUCCACCACUAUGACUAUCUUUCUUAUUCGGUUAGAGUCAUUCGAAUCGAUUAUCACAUCUUAUAUAUCAGCUAGGUUUUUGUCAUGGAAUCUAGAAACUAAUGAGAAUAAUUAAUUAAUUGUAAUUAGAUAUGCCUCAACCAGUUUUUGAUAUUCAGAUAAGACUCCGACAUUCACAGAUUGGAGUGUUUGCAGUAAAUUUUUGAUCUAAAGCCAUUUCAAGAUGUCUAUGAUAGAAUUUACGAUUGAGUAGUGUUUUAAGACUUUCUGAGGAAAGACAAAUACAAAAAUUGAAAACUUUUACUUGUAAAUUCUGUUUAAUCAGUGUAACCGUUCUUUUUUUGAAGACUGUCAAAUCUAGUUUUCAACUCAGAUUUGGUGGGUGUUUUUUGUCGUAUUAAAACGUUUAAUCAGUGUAAAACGUUUAAAUUAGUUUUCUCAAAAUUAAAGACUUAAUUGUUUUUAGGACUUAUAAAAAUAAUGCAAUUUUUAGAAAAUAUUAAAAAGAUAUUCUUAAAUACUGAAAAUUUAUUUCGCUAAAAAAUAAAGAAUAUAUGAAAAUAAUAAUUUAUUUUGUUUUUAAAUACUAAUUUUUCUAAAAUUAUGAUAAUAACAAAUUAUGCUUCAAAACUGAUUUUGAAAACUAAAUUUAUCUAUAAAUUCUCAUGGAGUUUUUCGGUUUCACUUAUACAUUACCAUUUGUUUUUUUUCUUCCUACAAGAUCAGAAGGACCAUUCCGAUUAGAUUAUUUAGUAGUAGUAGUAGUUUUUUCUUUAGUCCUUAUAUUUCUUAUGUUCUAACUUUUAGUUUUGAUUUUGGUAAAACCAAAAAAACGAAAAAAAGUUAAAAACCAAACUAAAAACCCAUAAACAGUCUGAAUUGAGGGAAAAAAAGUUAAAUGCCAAUUUAAAAUUUAAGGAAAAUUACAAAACCAACCAACCAACCAAGGGUUGACUAUAGAAAUAAAUUAAACGCUACAGGUUUAAUUAUAACAAAUUAAACUUUAUAGUUUUAAUUUAAUAAUAAUUUAAACAAUUUAUUAGUCUUCGUCUACCUAAGGUAAGAGGAACAAAGUGGUUCUUACGUAAAAUGCAUAUAAACGAGUUUGUAUAGAGCUACCCCUUUUAAAGAGUUUGAAUCAAUUAAUAAUACAAAUUAAAAAGUUUGAGUGUUGCAUUUCUAUUAAAGACACCUAAUUUGUAUUGCGAUUUUAUGCCAUUAGGGCUUUAAAAAGGGGAGAAACCCUAUAUAACGUGAUUUCAGUGCAUUUUGGACAGGAAUCGGGUAAUUCCGUUAAUCUUAGGUGGACAGAGAUUAAUAAAUAAUUUAAAUUAUUACUUGAUUAAAAUUAUAGAAUUUCAUUUAAUAUCAAAACUGAAAUGUUAAUUUGUUCUCGUGACUAAACUCUGUUUUUUAUAUAAUUUACUCUCAAAUCUAAGAAUAGAAUGCUAAAAUGUCAAAGUUGCUAAAGUGCUUUUACUAUUGGCAUUCCUUUUUGGCUGCUUGAAUAUGCUAAAGUGCUUCCAUUAAAGCUUAACUUUAUGUAUUAUCGCUUACUUUGCUGAAUACAUUUCUUGUUUUUAUUAUGGCAAAUUUAUCUAAAUUUAUUUUUGUGUAGUGAAAAUACUUGAGUAACAAUCGGUAUUUAAAUAUAUUCACCUUAAAAAAAUAAGCAGUUACACCAUCAACAUAGCAAAAUUUGAGUCAAAUUAUAAUUAUAAUUUUUUUCUAUUUUAAUUAGGCCCGUUUGGGCUAUGUUUUUUUCCUUCUCCUUGGUUUUUGAUUUUUUAUUUUUAGUGAAUUUUUUUCGAUGUUUGAUUAAAAUUUUAUAUUAAGUUUCUUUUGACGAAAGGAGUCUGAAAAUGUAAAUUUUGUAAUCAAACGGUGAAAAAAGAUCAUUAAAAAUAAAAAAAACUCAAAAAUUAAUGAACCAAAAAACCCAGAAAAACUCAUAGCUCAAUGGCCUUUUAGUCACUAUUUUUGUACACAUUUUAUCAGUCUCUCUAUUUUAAUUAUAUUUUAUUAAAAUAACUAUUUUUAUACUAUAUUUAUUUUAUUUUUUUACACACUCAAAAAAAAUAUGUUAAAUAAAUCAUAAAUUAGGAAGUAGUUAAUAAAUAAUCAUGUUAAAAUAAUGUGUCGUGUUACUUUAACCAUCCGGUGAAGGAGAUUUUUUAGAGUUUACAAGUUUAAUUAUUUAAAAUGGUAUUUUUAUUUUGUGGCUAAGUUUAUUUUAUAAUUUUUUGUCAAUUAUUUUUUUUUUUAUGAUUGUUCGGACUAACUUUAUUUGUUGAUGUACGUUUUUCUUUUAUUUUUUUAGCAAAAGCCAAAGCGUUCCAAAGCCUAGCUGAGCGGAGCUGAGUUCGUCGUCGCCGCGUGAACAGGCGAUUCGAAUUAGUACGAGUUUCAAACCGCCCGUUUUACAAACUCUCGUACAACCCCCCACCCCACCCAUCUCUCUCCAACCUCUCCACUCCUAACACACACACACACACACACACACACACACACAAAAGUGAUACAACAAACACUCUCCAAGUGUUUCAGAUCAAACCCCCUCUAUCUCACUACAUUUUCAAGUCUCUCUCUACAACCUCUACCGAUGUACCAACUCUCAUACUCGGUUGUGUUGAGUUCAGGUCUUUGAUGAGUUUAACCUAUUAUUAGGCCCAAGUCCAAAUAAUAUAUUUGGGUCUAAGUCCAAGCUUGUUUAGUAACCCUAACUUUUUUCGAGAUAGAAAAAAUUAAGGCGGGGGAUUGUAUUGGGUUGGUUAAGAGUAGAGAGAAAAAGAGAAAAUGCAAAAGAGGUUGAGAAAGAUUGUGGGAGAAAGGUUGAUAGAGUGAAUCUCCUCAUUUUGUAAUUCCUUCGUUUGAUUAGUAGAUUAUUUAUUUCUCUUCGUGGACAUAGGAAUCAUUGGCCGAAUCACGUAAAUCUCUAUUGUUUUGUAUGUGUGAUCGGUGAUUCGUUUUGAGGACAACAAUUGGUAUAGUACCAAAGCACAUGCCGAGUUUUGAAUCUUCGCAAAAGUGCUCGAAAUCGAUUUCUAAUACCACCACGGUGUUUCUCUUUUCGAGAUGAAGCUGAAGCUCCAGCAUUUAAUCGCGUCGAAAACGGACGCCGAACCUGCCCACAAGCGACUAAAGAAUCGCGCGUAAGAUCCACUCUCGAGCCGCACUCCGCUCUGCUCCACUGAGCCGCACGCGCCCACCCCAUUCUCCUGUAUUGCUACCAUUUAAUGGAUUCAUGAAGCAAGAACCAUUUUAUGGAAGUCCAGUACAAAAAGACAGACCGUUGAGCGGAGUGGAGAAUCUUCCUCCUCCUCCUGUGAUGAGCUUUAUUUAUCCAUUGUUAAAUGAAUCCAUUGUUAACAUACAAUUACCAUUCAUUUGCUGCUUUUGGCCACCUAAUUGCUUUAUGUUGUUGACCCGAUUAUGUUAAGAUAAUUUUAGAUCUAGGAAUAACUUUAUUGAAAGCACAUUUUAUCGAAUCUGACAAUAACGACAUCCUAAUACUAAUCGGCUGUCUCAUUUUCAUUUCUGGAUUUUUUUUCAUUCUUUUGACAAUUAUUUACAUCUCUGGAUUCUAAUUAAAGACUACAAAGUAUGGGAGAUAAUUUCCUCAACUAGUUUCCCUCACAUUAAGAAUAGGAAAUAUUACUAUUUCUUCAAUCCAUCACCCGUCUAAUUAGCAAUGUUCUAAUUGCAAUCACUGAAACAAUGAGACCGGUCGCCAGAGCUAUUUCUGGAAAACGGCCAAGUUAGACGUCCAGAAAUAGAGACAGAGAA